CACGUAGGCGGCUUGGUAAGUCAGGGGUGAAAUCCCACAGCCCAACUGUGGAACUGCCUUUGAUACUGCCAGGCUUGAGUACCGGAGAGGGUGGCGGAAUUCCAGGUGUAGGAGUGAAAUCCGUAGAUAUCUGGAGGAACACCGGUGGCGAAGGCGGCCACCUGGACGGUAACUGACGCUGAGGUGCGAAAGCGUGGGUAGCAAACA
rnacentral:rRNA from 1 species